GAUGAAGAACGUAGCGAAAUGCGAUAACUAAUGUGAAUUGCAGAAUUCCGUGAAUCAUCGAGUCUUUGAACGCACAUUGCGCCCCCUGGUAUUCCGGGGGGCAUGCCUGUCCGAGCGUCAUUGCUGCCCAUCAAGCACGGCUUGUGUGUUGGGUCCUCGUCCCCCCCGGGGGACGUGCCCGAAAGGCAGCGGCGGCACCGCGUCCGGUCCUCGAGCGUAUGGGGCUUUGUCACCCGCUCUGCAGGCCCGGCCGGCGCUGGCCGACGCGAAAGUAACCAUUUUUUCUCCAGGUUGACCUCGGAUCAGGUAGGGAUACCCGCUGAACUUAAGCAUAUCAAUAAGCGGAGGA
rnacentral:misc_RNA from 1 species